rnacentral:lncRNA from 1 species
CAUUGUUUACAUUCGAAUAUAAGACAAGCGGAUAACAAGUUGUGCCACUGGUCUUUUUUGACAAAAGUAUACAACUUAUUUAAUAAUAAUAAUAAUAAUAAUAAUAAUACAAAAUAGUAAACCAAAAAUUACAGUAUAUAUGUAAUUUAUACGAUACAAACUGACACCUUUACUAAUUGCCCGAUCAUCAAAUAUAACAAUGGGGCUCCUUACUUGAUACUGACCGUCGUCCCAAACCAAAGAGGCCGAUCUAAUAGAUCUCUUCAUUUUUCCAUGUAUAGUUAGAACAAAUGAUUGUUUUUCUCCCAAUGCAGUGAAGGACAAAACACUCGGAGUCACUGAAAUAUGUAUUCCUUUUGGAGCUGUUACAUUUGCUAUGUAAGUAGACAUUGGCAAUCCAACAUUAGUAACAAUCCUUUUAAAAGUUCCACUAACAUGAUGUUUGGGACGUGGGGCUUUGAGAGCAAAAGAAGGAUAGUUUAAGUCCCUUGCAGUCGAAUUUGCUACCUCGAAGCAAAUGAUAUAUUUCUCUGUGAUUAAGUAUAAAGUUGAUGCAUUGAAACCUUGACCGCAUAAAAAACUUAUGUAGUCUUUUUCAUCUGCCUCAUAGAUUAAGUCAAGCUUCAAAGCCUUGAGAGGGUCGAUCUGACCAGCUCCAUAAGCAAAUUCAGCAGCACGGUCGGGACCUAUCUGUUUAGCUGCAAGACAAGAAUCAC